rnacentral:tRNA from 2 species
ACUGAUAUAGUUCAGUUGAUAGAGCGCACCCUAGUAAGGGUGAGAUCGGCGGUUCAAUCCGCCUAUCAACACCA